rnacentral:rRNA from 1 species
UACGUAGGGGGCAAGCGUUGUCCGGAAUCAUUGGGCGUAAAGAGCGUGUAGGCGGCUCGGUAAGUCCGCUGUGAAAGUCCAGGGCUCAACCCUGGAAUGCCGGUGGAAACUGUCGAGCUAGAGUCCGGAAGAGGCGAGUGGAAUUCCUGGUGUAGCGGUGGAAUGCGCAGAUAUCAGGAGGAACACCAAUAGCGAAGGCAGCUCGCUGGGACGGUACUGACGCUGAGACGCGAAAGCGUGGGGAGCGAACAGG